GCCUGGGUGGCGGAAUUGGUAGACGCAGCGGACUUAAAAUCCGCCGGCCAUAACAGGCCGUGCCGGUUCGACUCCGGCUCCAGGCACCA
rnacentral:tRNA from 1 species